rnacentral:rRNA from 1 species
CCUACGGGUGGCAGCAGUGGGGAAUAUUGCACAAUGGGGGAAACCCUGAUGCAGCGACGCCGCGUGAGUGAAGAAGUAAUUCGUUAUGUAAAGCUCUAUCAGCAGGGAAGAAAAUGACGGUACCUGAGUAAGAAGCCCCGGCUAACUACGUGCCAGCAGCGGCGGUAAUACGUAGGGAGCGGGCGUUGUCCGGAAUUACUGGGUGUAAAGGGGGCGUAGUCGGGCGAGAAAGUUGAAUGUUAAAUCUACCGGCUUAACUGGUAGCUGCGUUCAAAACUUCUUGUCUUGAGUGAAGUAGAGGCAGGCGGAAUUCCUAGUGUAGCGGUGAAAUGCGUAGAUAUUAGGAGGAACACCAGUGGCGAAGGCGGCCUGCUGGGCUUUAACUGAUGCUGAGGCUCGAAAGCGUGGGGAACAAACAGGAUUAGAUACCCUGGUAGUC